AUAUAUAUAUAUAUAUAAAAGUCAGAACUUACUGUAGAGUACCUUAAAUGUAUACUAACUUUUGUGGUAACUUUUCCUUUUGUCUUUGUUCUGUCUACAAUCUCAAUGAAAUAACACUGGAACAUAUUUAAAUUGCAACGUUUGAAUUUUGUUAAUGUACCCAAUAUUUUAUAUUAAAUAAAUGCAGGG